CUGCGGUUCUGAGCGCGCCGUCCGUGCCCACCUGACAGCUGCUCGCUACCUUUGUUAG
rnacentral:sRNA from 1 species